rnacentral:rRNA from 1 species
CACGUAGGGGCCAAGCGUUGUCCGGAUUCAUUGGGCGUAAAGAGCUCGUAGGCGGUUCAGUUAGUCGGGUGUGAAAUCUCCGGGCUCAACCCGGAGGGGCCACCCGAUACUGCUGUGACUUGAGUCCGGUAGGGGAGUGGGGAAUUCCUGGUGUAGCGGUGAAAUGCGCAGAUAUCAGGAGGAACACCGGUGGCGAAGGCGCCACUCUGGGCCGGUACUGACGCUGAGGCACGAAGGCGUGGGGAGCGAACGGG